rnacentral:rRNA from 1 species
GCGAACGCUGGCGGCGUGCUUAACACAUGCAAGUCGAACGGUAAGGCCCCUUCGGGGGUACACGAGUGGCGAACGGGUGAGUAACACGUGAGCAACCUGCCCUUGACUCUGGAAUAACAGUUGGAAACAGCUGCUAAUACUGGAUAUUCAUCGUCUCCUUCCUGGGGGGUGGUGGAAAGCUCCGGCGGUCAGGGAUGGGCUCGCGGCCUAUCAGCUUGUUGGUGAGGUAAUGGCUCACCAAGGCUUCGACGGGUAGCCGGCCUGAGAGGGCGACCGGCCACACUGGGACUGAGAUACGGCCCAGACUCCUACGGGAGGCAGCAGUGGGGAAUAUUGCACAAUGGGCGCAAGCCUGAUGCAGCAACGCCGCGUGCGGGAUGACGGCCUUCGGGUUGUAAACCGCUUUCAGUAGGGACGAAGGGUGACUGACGGUACCUACAGAAGAAGGACCGGCUAACUACGUG